AAUUAUUGUUUGUAUACAUUAUGGUUGACUUUGUCAAAAUUAGAGUAAACAAAAGUAUCAUUCAUAUGAUAUAAUAGUGGGACCAUUAUCAUAGGCAUUAUAAUUUUUUAAUAGCCUAUGUACUCUAGUAUAUAAGAUUGGGUUAAGUAAUGAUUAUUGAUGUUAUAAUAUAUGAAAGAAAGUAUGCCAAUUGAGAUAUAUAACCAGCA
rnacentral:lncRNA from 1 species